ensembl:lncRNA
AUAUAUAUAUAUAUAUAUACAAUAUGUAUUUUUUUUAGUUGUUAAUUAAACUUUUUUCCUUUUCCUUUUUUUAAAUAAUUUUUGUUUUCAAAAACGCGAUUACAAUUUUUUUUUUUGCAAAUAAUCUAUAUAUAUACACAUACAAACGCACGUUUAAUAUUACCUUUAUAUUUAUAUAAUAAAAAGGCAAGACAAAUAUGCCUUCUUAUUUUUGGCCUUAUUUAUUAUGUACCUUCCAUUUGAUUCUUAUUUUUUUUUUUUUUUUUAAUUCACUGUUUCAAAUAAACAUUUAAUAAUUACGCUUUUUUUUAGUAACGAAUUCGUAACAUUUUUUUUUAGUAACGAAUUCGUAGCACUUUUUUUAGUAACGAAUUAAUAGCACUUUUUUUUAGUAACGAAUUAAUAGCACUUUUUUUUUUUUUUAUAUGGUAAUUCGAAAUUUGUCAAUUAAAAAAGUGGGAAGGUACGGGAGUGCGGAACUAAAAAAAAAAAAAAAAGAGGAAUUUAAAAAAUAAAAAAUAUGUUACAAGUGUAGCAAAAGUUGUAAUAAAGGUAAGCAUUUUGUUUAUUUUUAUGAUUAUUUAUAUUUUUGCUUUUGCAUUUAUUUAUAUAUUCAUUUGUGCAUUUGCUUGUACACUUUUGUGCUUAUUUAUAUAUUCACUUAUACAUUUGCUUAUAUAUUUGAUUUUGUACUUUUUUAUACGCCUGCUGACUUACCCAAUCAUUGCUUAUUUUUAUUGCUAAUACUACCAUCAUUAUUAUUAUUAUUUAUAUUAUUAUUUUGUUUUAUUUAUUUAUUUAUUUAUUUAUUUAUUUGUUUGUUGUUUUUUUUGUUUAUUCAUAAAACAUAAGAUGUAAAAAUAAACUUGCAAAGAAAAUAUGAACAAUAUUGCACUGGAAACACCAUUAUUUUCUCCUAAUAUAACGGAUGUGGAUUUUGACGUUUUCAAUUUAUGGCUAAAAGGACACAAUGAAGAAGAUGUAAUAAGAUUUUUGCUAAAAAUGUUUUAUAACAACAUGAUUAAAAAAAAGCGUAAUAACACUUGGGGAAUUGAAUUGUCACCUCCUAUGUGUAAGAAUGAGAAUUUAAUAAAAUGCAUUGAAAAGGGUAAAAUAAAAACAUUUAAAAAGAAGUUUAAUGAUAACAAGUUGGAUGACAGCGAUAAAGACAGCGAUAAAGACAGCGAUAAAGACAGCGAUAAAGACAACGAUGAUGACAGCGAUAAUGACAGUGAUAAUGAUAAUAUAGAAGACGAUUUUACUGAUAUGAAAAGAGGUGUGAAAUACCCUAAGUAUAUAUCUAAUAAUAAUAAUCGUUUUUUUAACGAUGUAAUACAUAUUUACGUAAAACAACAAUAUUAUAUCUAUAGCAUUAUAGAAUAUAAUUUAAAAAAAUUAGACAUACAAUUUUCUAAUUCACAUAUACCAAUUUGUAAAAAUAAAAUUAUAAAAUUAAUAAAACUAUAUUAUUAUAUUGAUUUCGAUUUAGAAGAAGAAAUUAUAAAACAUAAAAAUAUUAAUAAUUUAGGAAAAUAUACAAAAGAAUUUAGAAAAAUUACAAAUAUUCAUAAACGUUCAAUAAAAAGACAAAUAGAAAAUAUAAAAAGAUUAUGGAUAUAUAUAUUACAAGUUUAUGAAACAAGAUUUGUAAAUAUAAAUAAAUUUUAUAAAAGAAGAAAACUAUUUUGUUUUAAUAUAAUAAAAUUUUUUAAAAAUAAUUUACAAUUAUAUUAUAGUUGUUUAAGGGGAAAUACAGAAGUAGACAUGAAUGUUUAUUAUUACAACCGAUCAUUUGUAUUUAUAAAAAAAAGAAAAAAAAAAAGUAAAAAAAUAAUGGAAGAUGAAGAUGCAGAGAAGGUGGAAGAAGGAGAAGACAAUCGAACGAAUCAAACAGAGCGAAUAAGCGAACUAUAUAAAAAUAAAUCAAAAGUGAAAACUGGUACUAGUAGUAUAUGUAAAAGUACUAGUAAUACUACUAUUUUUCACAAAAAUACACAUAAUGAUCAUAACUUGAUAAAAAAUUUAGAAAGUAUGUUAGGUAUUUAUUUAGCAAAACGUUAUUUUCACUUAUUUUGGAUUAUUGUAUAUUACAUAGAAAUGCCUAAAAAAACUAACAUUCCUUACCCUUUUUUAAAUAAUAUAGUAUUAUUAUUAUUAGAAAAAUUACAAAUUAACGAUUUAAUAUUAUCAAAAGAAUACAUAAAUGUAAGUUAUCAAAUACAUAAAGCAUAUAAAGAUGUAAAAACGUUGGAGGAUUUGCAAAAAAGAUUGGAGUUUAAACAAAACACUGAUUAUUCUGUAAAAAUGAAGAUUGUUAACAGGUUUAGAUGGAUACUUAAUCUUUUGUGUAGUUUCAGAAAUGUAAGAACAUUUUUAACUAAUAUAUUGCCGUAUGUGCAAUAUCCAUGUAUAUAUGUA